rnacentral:rRNA from 1 species
AUUGAACGCUGGCGGCAUGCUUUACACAUGCAAGUCGAACGGUAACAGGCCGCAAGGUGCUGACGAAUGGCGAACGGGUGAGUAAUGCAUCGGAACGUGCCCAGUCGUGGGGGAUAACUACUCGAAAGAGUAGCUAAUACCGCAUACGAUCUAUGGAUGAAAGCGGGGGACCGUAAGGCCUCGCGCGAUUGGAGCGGCCGAUGUCAGAUUAGGUAGGUGGUGGGGUAAAGGCUCACCAAGCCAACGAUCUGUAGCUGGUCUGAGAGGACGACCAGCCACACGGGGACUGAGACACGGCCCAGACUCCUACGGGAGGCAGCAGUGGGGAAUUUUGGACAAUGGGCGCAAGCCUGAUCCAGCAAUGCCGCGUGCAGGAAGAAGGCCUUCGGGUUGGAAACUGCUUUUGUACGGAACGAAACGGCUCUGGUUAAUACCCGGGGCUAAUGACGGUACCGGAAGAAUAAGCACCGGCUAACUACGUG